AGCGAACGCUGGCGGCAGGCCUAACACAUGCAAGUCGAACGAACUCUUCGGAGUUAGUGGCGGACGGGUGUGUAACACGUGGGAACGUUCCUUUAGGCUCGGAAUAAUUCAGGGAAACGUGUGCUAAUAUCGAAUGUGCUCUUCGGGGGAAAGAUUUAUCGCCAUUAGAGCGGCCCGCGUCGGUGUAGCUAGUCGGUGAGGUAAUGGCUCACCAAGGCGACGAUCAGUAGCUGGUCUGAGAGGAAGACAACCCACACUGGGACGGGGACACGGCCCGGACUCCUGCGGAAGGGGGCAAUGCGGAAUCUUGCGCAAUGGGGGAAGGCCUGAAGGUGCUAUGCCGGGUGAAUGAUGAUGGUCUUAGAAUAGUAAAAUUAUUUCACCGGGGACGAUAAUGACGGUACCCGAAGAAGAAGCCACGGCUAACUUCGUG
rnacentral:rRNA from 1 species